rnacentral:rRNA from 1 species
GACGAACGCUGGCGGCGUGCUUAACACAUGCAAGUCGAACGGAAGGGCCCUGCUUUUGUGGGGUGCUCGAGUGGCGAACGGGUGAGUAACACGUGAGUAACCUGCCCUUGACUUUGGGAUAACUUCAGGAAACUGGGGCUAAUACCGGAUAGGAGCUCCUGCUGCAUGGUGGGGGUUGGAAAGUUUCGGCGGUUGGGGAUGGACUCGCGGCUUAUCAGCUUGUUGGUGGGGUAGUGGCUUACCAAGGCUUUGACGGGUAGCCGGCCUGAGAGGGUGACCGGCGACAUUGGGACUGAGAUACGGCCCAGACGCCUACGGGAGGCAGCAGUGGGGAGUAUUGCACAAUGGGCGGAAGCCUGAUGCAGCAACGCCGCGUGCGGGAUGACGGCCUUCGGGUUGUAAACCGCUUUCGCCUGUGACGAAGCGUGAGUGACGGUAAUGGGUAAAGAAGCACCGGCUAACUACGUG